rnacentral:rRNA from 1 species
UACGUAGGGGGCAAGCGUUGUCCGGAUUUAUUGGGCGUAAAGAGCGUGUAGGCGGCUUGGUAGGUCCGCUGUGAAAACUCGAGGCUCAACCUCGAGACGUCGGUUGAAACCAUCUGGCUAGAGUCCGGAAGAGGAGAGUGGAAUUCCCGGUGUAGCGGUGAAAUGCGCAGAUAUCGGGAAGAACACCCGUGGCGAAGGCGGCUCUCUGGGACGGUACUGACGCUGAGACGCGAAAGCGUGGGGAGCGAACAGG